UCGAGAAUCUUCGGCAAUGGGCGCAAGCCUGACCGAGCGAUGCCGCGUGCGGGAUGAAGGCCUUCGGGUUGUAAACCGCUGUCGAGGGGGAGCAACUUCCAUAGAGUUAUCUUUAUGGAUUGAGUGAUCCCUGGAGGAAGGACGGGCUAAGUUCGUGCCAGCAGCCGCGGUAAGACGAACCGUCCAAACGUUAUUCGGUAUCACUGGGCUUAAAGAGUUCGUAGGCGGCUAAACAGGUGAGGUGUGAAAGCCCUCGGCUCAACCGAGGAACUGCGCUUCAAACCGUUUAGCUAGAGGAAGACAGAGGUGAGCGGAACUGAUGGUGGAGCGGUGAAAUGCGUUGAUAUCAUCAGGAACACCGGUGGCGAAAGCGGCUCACUGGGUCUUUUCUGACGCUGAG
rnacentral:rRNA from 1 species